UUAAAAUGAUCAAUACCCCAAGCCCCAUUUAGGUCCGAUAGUCUAUCUUUCUAUGAUAUACAACCUGAAACUUAGUCUAUCGGAUCUAGAAGUGUCCUUUGGCUCUCAACUUUCAUCAG
rnacentral:precursor_RNA from 12 species